rnacentral:lncRNA from 10 species
AAAGGCUGGAACAACAAAUGAAUACAGGAAUGAUGCUAAUAUAAAAAUACAAACCCUAAAUUUUCUUUAUAUAUUUUGAGGGUAAGCUAGUUUCAGAUUUUUCUCUAAGGUUUUGUAGGAAGAGAAAAAUUGGUCACACUAACGCCAUUUUAAAAUAUGCCCCCAUCUGUAAGAGGCAGAGCCACCUGAGGUGAAAAGGUAAACGGCUUGUGUAAGAUUUGGCUGAAAGUCCAGAAAUUAACUCAAGUCCUGGAACAUGUCCUGGGACACUCCCCCGGAACGAUUGUUCAAGUCCUGGAGUACGUUUCGGAACGCUGCUCCCGGAACACCGCUCCUGGAGCGAUUGUUUCAAUGUUGCUUGCUCGGAAUGGCCCUCCUGAGCAAACAACAGACGGUGCUCAAAGUAACAACUGGACUUAAUAAAAGGAGCUUACACGAAGGAGGAGCUGAAGGCUGCUGUGGUCGUGUGCUGGGGGCUGCCCCAGCUCCAGCUGCAGGACCCCGGCCGUCUGCCUUCCGACUCCGGUGAUGAUUCUUCCUGCGGUCUGAUCAAGAUUCUAUGCAGUUAACUUUGUAUCCAAGGAUCUAUAGCCAAGAAAUUUGGAGCUCAGUUUCAAACGCCAAAGGAAAUUGUAGUGGGAAAUUCCAAGGGUAGCAGAGUUAUGCAAAGUCACAGAAAAAAGAAAUAAUAGCAGAAGAUAUUGUUCACAGACGGCAAAUUCACACACCCGAAUGAAACUCCUAUGAGACCCACAUGCACGGAUUUAUUCAG